ensembl:lncRNA
UUUCUUUUUAAUUUUUAUUUUUUAUUUUUUUAUUUUUAAUUUCUUUGCUAUUAAAUGUCACUUUGGACUGUAUUUGCACUAAAAUGUUCAUUCAAAACUGUUGAGGACAGAAGUAGUUGGAGGACUUUCACAGUGUUUUGCUAACCACUUUCUUUUCCCUUUCCUCUGUUGACCAAGUUUGUUCUCCCAAAAGGAGGCUAUGGCAAUUAAGAAAUAUUUCGGAUAGUCUGUCUCUAGUUUACUAUUAUCAGUCUUUUAAGUGGUAGUGUUUUUCUUGCUCUCUUUUCUCCAGGUUUUGAAGUUUGGAACAACAUCAAAAGAUAUGCAGGACACAGCUCAGAAUACAUUAUCACAUCCUGUCAGGCAGCAGGAACUCCAGAUUUUGAUGACAUGACUAGCUGGAUCAUUCUGCAUUUGUCCAGGAACAUGUAUUUAGGACUAUUUUUAAGAGGUCAGAACUUGUAA